UCCGUCGUGGUGCAGUGGUAGCACGCCAGACCUUACAGUGAGCUACGUCGCAUGACUUACGAGCAUGCCACCCGGUCAAGAGAAGGCUGGUUGUGGGGAUCCGCCUUCAGGAAACUGAAGACAGCCUUAACGACUCGGGUGCGUCGCGUGGCCGGGCUUGCCCAUCUGGAGACCCGAGUUCGACUCUCGGCGACGGAG